rnacentral:tRNA from 1 species
GCGCUCGUAGCUCAACUGGAUAGAGCGACAGACUUCGGAUCUGUAGGUUAUGGGUUCGAUUCCUAUCGGGCGCGCCA